UCCUUGUCAAAACUGUCUGGUCUUACGUCUAGUCGGAUGGUCUUGUUUGUUUUGUCCAUUGUGUUUUCCAGUUGAGGAGCUUUAGCCUUCUGCUCUCUCUCUCUAUGCUGCCUGGAUUAUUGGACUUUAUAUUUCUGGAAUUCAUCAUUAAAAUCUUCAUUUCUUCAUUUCAACCUGGGUCCUCAGCGUCUGCCUUACCACCUCAUCCAACCGCACUUCAUGACAACAUGUGGUGGUGACUACCAGAUCUGAAUCAUGGACUGAGAUCAUCCAUCCAUCCUCCUCUACAGUAUAGCACAAUCUUCUGCUGCUGCAGAUUAGAGAUUUGCACCCAAUCCAGCUGCUUAUUUAGCUUUUAUAUCCUGAAUGGAAGCCAACCGAGCGAGAACCUGGAGAACUGGAAAAAGGGUUUUUUCCUUCACCAUCCUGAUUUUGAAAGGCCUACAGUGAGGAGAGACAUCAGUAAUUACUCUGCCAAAAACACACUGAGACAUACAGUACACUAAUUAUUCACGUCCAUGUGUUGUUCAGAUUUUGUUACUGUGUUCGGGGUAAUAAUGAUACUCAAAGAGAAAUGUCUCAAUAAAAAACAUGCUUGUU